UUUAUUUAUCUUCUAUAAUUAAAACUUUAUAGCAUUGAGUGGGGAGGCCAGAGCUGGCCAGGGAAGGUAGAAAGCUUGGCUUCUUCCAUCAGUGGGGGCAACCCAAGCCUCCUGCUCACUGCAGCUCCAUGGCUGCCACCAUCUUUGUUGGGUUGAUUUGCAUACUCACUCCUGCUUGGCUGGUGGGAGUAGCAGAGGGAUUGUCAAUUUGCAUGUUUCUCUUUUAUUACAUUAGAUCAUGGUGUGUUUUUUCUUGCCAUUAUUAACCAUAGUAACUAUUGCUUAUGUAUUAAAGCUCUAUUCCUGCUAAGUCUAGAAGCACCCUCAGAA